CCCACUUCACCCAAAUCAUCUGUCAUCCCGCACAGGCACUCUCUUUCUCAGAGAAAUCCAGGGGCGUCGUGCUCAACCAGGGCCGUCAUGGGGAAGUGUGGGCACCCAGAGAACGACGCACCAUGUAAAUUUGCCGUAUGUAUGGGCGUCGGCCAAAAAUCAAGGUCUAUCGAAUAUCGGCAAUGCAAAGCAUGUUCUUUCUGUCUGUGAUCUCGUUAGGAGUAAGAAGUGUGCGUCGUGUGUAGUUCAAAGCUAAAAGUACAAAAUAAAAACGUAUUACAAAAAUACAAACAGUAGUACGGUGCGCGGUUAAAAAAAUAUAUAAGUACGAUUUAGAAAUUAUAAAAAGAACAAAUAUCGUGAAGACAAACUCAACAAAAACCACCACAAAGAAAAGGUCCAAGAGGGCCUUUUCUUGUUUUGUCGGCUUAUUCACCAGCUAUUCGUGAACUGCAACCACACGGCGACGUCUAACAUCCAAAAUCAACCAGACAGAAAGACCACACAACAUAACCUUGUCGGAAGGCUUUUGGCUGUGGCCAUCCGGUGGCGCUAGGACCGCUUGAUAACCUAGUUUGGGCCAUUACGAGGUUAACGACGAAGGCAAGGCUAAAACAUAACCUUGUCGGGCUAUUACGAGGGUAUCGGAAAGAUCAUCCGGUACAACAAGGCCGGAAUCACAAAUCGCAACUUGCAGGCUCUUCCGGGACGCCGGAUAGAGUCUGCUGUGAAUUCCGGAUUGCUGGUGGAAAAAUCAACAUAAUAUGGGAACCGAUGUCCCCAUAUGGUUCCAAUCAAUCGUCGUUGUCCGCCGAUCCAGCUGCCGCUAGUAGUUCCUGAUAAAUUCCGUGCACAAAAUCUAACCGCAAGUAUGCCUUAUAUGUGACGUCACCCCUGAAAAACUAUGUAAAUAAAACCCCCCACAUUAUGUAAAAUUUGAAAUCAGGUAGAAUACUUUACUGGAAUACUUUGUUAUUUUACACCUUAUCGAAAAUCGUUCUUUCAAUCCUUCCCUCUUAACAUUUCCAUUCACGAAAUUAUAUGCUUUGCCCGCCUCGGUUUUAACAUUUCUCAUCGUUUGGACUGGUUGCUAGCAUG